rnacentral:lncRNA from 1 species
CUUCUAGGCGCGUUUCCUGAAGGUGGGAGGGGAGCGUCCGCGAGGCGCUGGGGCGACGGGGCAGGUUUAUCCGGGCUAACUUUGCCGAGUCUGUUUUUGAGGGAAGAGGUUGUGAGGAUCGUAUCUUCCGGGACGCGUUUCACGUGGGAAGGCGCUCCACGCCUGGAACUGUCAGCAGCCGGCGCCUGAAGAGCUCCUGGCGCGGGGCCUCUGGCCUGGCAGCCGCAGGACCCAAUGGAUCAGGCGCUCACGCUGUUCUCACUGCAUGGCUUCAGUGCCUUGCCUGGCACCUCCUAUCCUGUAACUGGCCGACUCGGGGUCCCACCCAGGCUUCUCCAGCGGCCGGGAAGGGGCUCUGCUUCCGGAAGUGUUUAGGAAGGGAGCCAGCGUAAACCAGAGUCCCUUCCUCCAAGCAUCGCUGAAGCCUUUUCUCCCCUGGCAGCCGACUUCCUUUUCUUUGGAAAGGACGUCGAUGGCCAGGUGGUCUUCAUAAACUAUACUGCCUUGUGAUGCCUCCCUAGAAAUGAGAGGUCUCAAUACCAGCUCAGACCAUGUGGACCGCGGAUGAGAUUGCUCAGCUAU